rnacentral:rRNA from 1 species
UCAUAUGUACAUGCCUACAACAUUAAUGCAUUGGAUCCCAUUAGAACUCCACAGUUAAGUGCGCUUGGGCUAGUUUAGUCUUGGGAUGUCCUAGUGUUUUACAUGCC